UGUAAAUAAUAUGUAAUGUUUCUAACAAUAUUCAUUUUCUGAUGUAUCUAAAUCUCGCCAUAUGACCUAUAUUUAAUCAAAAUAUUUAAAAUAUUAUUACAUUUGGGAAACAAUUUGGUGUUAAGAGAAAAUUUACUCAAACAUAUUAAUGGAUCAAUAUUUAUUGAAGGUUUAGUAUAGCGUAAAAGUCAAUAUUUUGUACAUCAUGUAAAAUAUUUAUAAAAAUAUUUAAUUAUUAUGUUUAUAAAUAUUUUAAAAUAAGAUGUAUAUAUAUUUAUAAAAUUGGAAAUAAGUACAUGCAGGGAUGUGCGGAUCAAGCUCUAGUUAUUUAGAUAAUAAUUUAUACUGUUCUUAAUGGAAUAAUAAAUUAAUGUCAAAAACCUCAGUAUCCUUUUCUUGUUAAUUUCUUUAGAGCUGGCAAAAUGUUAGUGCAAAGGCCCAAACUAUAGUAUAAAAAACAUAACACAGAAACCCAAUAAGAAACAUUAUAUGGGCUUAGCAUAAAUGCCCAUGUCUGCCUCAACCCUAGGGUUUUCAGGGGUAUAUAUUCCGAGUUACGCUUCCCUUUCUCUUCUUGCUACCGUCACCGGGGAAUAUAGCCGAGUAAGGUUUUGAGAAAAAGAGUUCCUCCGCAAUGAGAGCCAAGUGGAAGAAGAAGCGUAUGAGGAGGCUGAAGAGGAAGAGACGAAAGAUGAGACAGCGAUCUAAGUAGACAGAGAGAGACUCCUCUCUUGAAGACUGCGCUUUUCAGUUAUUUCAUUUCGCUAAGUACUUAUAUUUGGAUCUUGUUUCAGUUUGAAGUGUUCUUGUCUUCGUUUUUGUUGGAUUGUAUGGAUCCUCAGUUAACGUUAAAUCUUUAUCUUUCUAA